AACCGCAAAACAAGCAGAGGGGGCUUAGUGGUGGGGUGACUGCGUACCUUUUGUAUAAUGGGUCAGCGACUUAUAUUCUGUAGCAAGGUUAACCGAAUAGGGGAGCCGGAGGGAAACCGAGUCUUAAUUGGGCGUUAAGUUGCAGGGUAUAGACCCGAAACCCGGUGAUCUAGCCAUGGGCAGGUUGAAGGUUGGGUAACACUAACUGGAGGACCGAACCGACUAAUGUUGAAAAAUUAGCGGAUGACCUGUGGCUGGGGGUGAAAGGCCAAUCAAACCGGGAGAUAGCUGGUUCUCCCCGAAAGCUAUUUAGGUAGCGCCUCGUGAAUUCAUCUCCGGGGGUAGAGCACUGUUUCGGCUAGGGGGCCAUCCCGGCUUACCAACCCGAUGCAAACUGCGAAUACCGGAGAAUGUUAUCACGGGAGACACACGGCGGGUGCUAACGUCCGUCGUGAAGAGGGAAACAACCCAGACCGCCAGCUAAGGUCCCAAAGUCAUGGUUAAGUGGGAAACGAUGUGGGAAGGCCCAGACAGCCAGGAUGUUGGCUUAGAAGCAGCCAUCAUUUAAAGAAAGCGUAAUAGCUCACUGGUCGAGUCGGCCUGCGCGGAAGAUGUAACGGGGCUAAACCAUGCACCGAAGCUGCGGCAGCGAACGUAUCACCCAAGACAACUUUACGGAGUUGACGAUUGACGGAGCGAAGCGACGUCAAAGCGUUCAUUAAAGUCGAGUUGGCUUAGGGAUACGUUCGUUGGGUAGGGGAGCGUUCUGUAAGCCUGUGAAGGUGUGUCGUGAGGC
rnacentral:rRNA from 1 species